CACGCGUCCAGGCUUCUGAACACCCACCGACCCACCGACUCACUCUCACCUAUUUCACCUUCCUCUCUUCUAGUCUGUCCCAAAACUAAGCAGUGAAAGCAAAAUCUAAAUUCUGGACCCAAAGCCUCCUUCACCGAAUUAGUUACCCUCUCCUUUAUUUCAUUAAAACCUUCACCAGUCUCACUCUUCUUCCUGUGUAAUCCUCAUCACCCACCAUAGAUACCAGCCAUGAUGGUUAUUACCUGAAGGGAAAUAUGGGUGUCUGACCCAUCAUUUGAGAUUGAUCGUCUUAGGCUUGGAUUCUGGAUCGAUUAAGGAUUCCAGUGACCCAGGCUUAAUCAACGACGGUGAUAACUCGGAGAUUGUCUAAGCAUGGAUUCCAGGAACUGAGCAGGAGCCAGCUGAGGACCAGACUUAAGACACUUGGGUGUGGCAUCGCCGAGUUGUGAAUAGCUUUUCUUUGGACUUGACUGGCGGUUUGGCAGGUGUUAACCGGUCUCCCUCCUUCUAAAAUUUUGUUUGUAAUGUUAUCUGGCUUUGGGGAGCUUUGUAAGAUAGUUAUUUUCCGCCUGCCUAUCUUUCGGUGUGUGUUUCUUUUGUGAACUUGAACUUCGAACCUUACAAUCGUGACUUUUGUGGAAUGUAAAUAAAGUACUCUUUAGUUGUAAAAUCUUUACGCUUCCGAA